AAUGGGCGCAAGCCUGAUCCAGCCAUGCCGCGUGGGUGAUGAAGGCCCUAGGGUUGUAAAGCCCUUUCGGCGGGGAAGAUAAUGACGGUACCCGCAGAAGAAGCCCCGGCUAACUUCGUGCCAGCAGCCGCGGUAAUACGAAGGGGGCUAGCGUUGCUCGGAAUCACUGGGCGUAAAGCGCACGUAGGCGGCUUUUUAAGUCAGGGGUGAAAUCCUGGAGCUCAACUCCAGAACUGCCUUUGAUACUGAGAAGCUUGAGUCCGGGAGAGGUGAGUGGAACUGCGAGUGUAGAGGUGAAAUUCGUAGAUAUUCGCAAGAACACCAGUGGCGAAGGCGGCUCACUGGCCCGGUACUGACGCUGAGGUGCGAAAGCGUGGGGAGCAAACAGGAUUAGAUACCGUGGUAGUCCACGCUGUAAACGAUGGAUGCUAGCCGUUGUCGGGUUUACUCGUCAGUGGCGCAGCUAACGCAUUAAGCAUCCCGCCUGGGGAGU
rnacentral:rRNA from 1 species